rnacentral:rRNA from 1 species
CCUUUUGAUAUAAAUGGAAGGUUGUAUCUGCUCACUGAAAUUUUAAAGAGCCGCGGUAUUAUGACCGUGCAAAGGUAGCAUAAUCAUUAGUUUUUUAAUUGAAAACUUGAAUGAAUGAUUUGACGAAUUAGUAACUGUCUCAUAGUAAUUAUUUGAAUUUUAUUUUUAAGUUAAAAAGCUUAAUUGAUAGUAAGGGACGAGAAGACCCUAUAGAUCUUUAUAGUAUAUAAUAUAAUGAAUAUUAUGGUUGUUUUAAGUGAUUAUAUUUUAUGCUGUUUCGUUGGGGUGAUGUGGGAAUAAUAAUAACUUCUUGAUUAGGUACCUUGAUUAAAGAAUUAUUGAUUUUGUAGUAUGGAAUAUAAGAUAAAGAUACCUUAGGGAUAACAGCGUUAUUUUAUUUGAGAGUUCAAAUUGACAAUAAAGAUUGCGACCUCGAUGUUGGAUUAUAAUUAUAUGUUGGUGUAGUAGUCAAUAAUAUAGGUCUGUUC